AUCCAGCUGACGAGUUCAAAACAGCAAGAAACGCGCAUCCUGGAU
rnacentral:hammerhead_ribozyme from 1 species